rnacentral:rRNA from 1 species
CCCUGGCAGUCAGGGGCGAUGAAAGGCGUGCUAAUCUGCGAUAAGCGCCGGUAAGGUGAUAUGAACCGUUAUAACCGGCGAUUUCCGAAUGGGGAAACCCAGUGUGAUUCGUCACACUAUCAUUAACUGAAUCCAUAGGUUAAUGAGGCGAACCGGGGGAACUGAAACAUCUAAGUACCCCGAGGAAAAGAAAUCAACCGAGAUUCCCCCAGUAGCGGCGAGCGAACGGGGAGGAGCCCAGAGCCUGAAUCAGCAUGUGUGUUAGUGGAAGCGUCUGGAAAGGCGCGCGAUACAGGGUGACAGCCCCGUACACAAAAGCGCAUGUGCUGUGAGCUCGAUGAGUAGGGCGGGACACGUGGUAUCCUGUCUGAAUAUGGGGGGACCAUCCUCCAAGGCUAAAUACUCCUGACUGACCGAUAGUGAACCAGUACCGUGAGGGAAAGGCGAAAAGAACCCCGGCGAGGGGAGUGAAAAAGAACCUGAAACCGUGUACGUACAAGCAGUGGGAGCCCCACCACUAAGCCAGUGGUGAACUCCACAUCCGCAUCCUUUGCUGAGGAUACCGUUUAACGGAGCGAAAGCGACGUUCAACCGCAAAACAAGCAG